rnacentral:rRNA from 1 species
UGGGGAAUAUUGGACAAUGGGCGAAAGCUUGAUCCAGCCAUGCCGCAUGAGUGAAGAAGGCCUUUGGGUUGUAAAGCUCUUUUAGUGAGGAAGAUAAUGACGGUACUCACAGAAGAAGUCCUGGCUAACUCCGUGCCAGCAGCCGCGGUAAUACGGAGAGGGCUAGCGUGAUUCGGAAUUAUUGGGCGUAAAGGGCGCGUAGGCUGGUUAAUAAGUUAAAAGUGAAAUCCCGAGGCUUAACCUUGGAAUUGCUUUUAAAACUAUUAAUCUAGAGAUUGAAAGAGGAUAGAGGAAUUCCUGAUGUAGAGGUAAAAUUCGUAAAUAUUAGGAGGAACACCGGUGGCGAAGGCGUCUAUCUGGUUCAAAUCUGACGCUGAAGCGCGAAGGCGUGGGGAGCAAACA